rnacentral:snRNA from 1 species
GCCACAGUCUACUCAGCAA